AGAAAGAAGAGCCUCUUCAGGGCCCUCUUUACAAGGUUGGAGAUGUUAGUAGCCCAUGUUAGGUCCUUGGUGAUGUAUGUCCCCAGGAGUUUAACAGAGUCCACCCUCUCCACUUCUUCCCCGUUGAUGGUAAGUGGGGUCUGCGUGGUCCUCUUGGACCUCCUAAAGUCCACAAGGAUCUCAUUUGUUUUGGUGGUGUUUAGGACCAGGUUGUUAUCCACACACCACUCUGCCAUGUGUUGGACCUCCUGCCUGUAAUGGCACUCAUUGUUGUCACUAAUGAGCCCCCCCACAGUGGUGUCAUCAGCUCAUUUGAUUAUGGUGUUGGAUGAAUGGAUGGGUACGCAGUCAUGGUGAAGAGGGUGUAGAGGGCUGGGCUGAGUACACACCCCUGGGGCGCACCGGUGUUCAAGGUUAUAGUUGAGGAUGUCAGGUCCCCUACUCUGACAUUCUGCGGUCUGUUUGAAACAAAGUCCAGGAUCCAUGAGCAGAGUGAGGUGGGGAGACCAAGAUGAAUGAGUUUGAGGACCAGUUUAUGGGGAUUGUGGUGUUGAAGGCAGAGCUGAAGUCCACAAAGAGCAUCCUUACAUAUGUGUUGGGGUACUCCAGGGGGACAGGGCUGUGUGGAGUGUGAUGGAGACAGCGUCCUCUGGGGAUCUGUUUGCCUGAUGGGCAAACUGGUGGCUGUCCAGGUCCACAGGGAUGCGGUCUCUGAUGUACGCCAGUAUCAUCCGCUCAAAGCACCUCAUGAUUACUGGGGUGAGGGCGACUGGGCGUCAUUGAGGCAGGGAAUGCAGAAUUU
ensembl:lncRNA